rnacentral:rRNA from 1 species
UACAGAGGGUGCGAGCGUUAAUCGGAAUUACUGGGCGUAAAGCGUGCGUAGACGGUCAAGUAAGUCGGGUGUGAAAGCCCCGGGCUCAACCUGGGAAUUGCAUUCGAGACUGCGUGGCUAGGGUGCGGAAGAGGGAAGCGGAAUUUCCGGUGUAGCGGUGAAAUGCGCAGAUAUCGGGAAGAACACCCGUGGCGAAGGCGGCUCUCUGGGACGGUACUGACGCUGAGACGCGAAAGCGUGGGGGAGCGAACAGG